rnacentral:misc_RNA from 1 species
GGAUGAAGAACGCAGCGAAAUGCGAUAAGUAGUGUGAAUUGCAGAAUUCAGUGAAUCAUCGAAUCUUUGAACGCACAUUGCGCCCCUUGGUAUCCCGAGGGGCAUGCCUGUUCGAGCGUCAUUUCACCACUCAAGCCUGGCUUGGUGUUGGGCGACGUCCCCUUUAGGGACGCGCCUCGAAACGCUCGGCGGCGUGGCACCGGCUUUAAGCGUAGCAGAAUCUUUCGCUUUGGAAGUCGGGGCCCCGCCUGCCGGAAUACCUACUCGUAAGGUUGACCUCGGAUCAGGCAGGGAUACCCGCUGAACUUAAGCAUAUCAAUAAGCGGAGGA